GACAGAGGGUGCAAACGUUGUUCGGAAUUACUGGGCGUAAAGCGUGUGUAGGCGGUCCUGUAAGUCGGGUGUGAAAGCCCUGGGCUCAACCCAGGAAGUGCACUCGAAACUGCGGGGCUAGAGUACUGGAGAGGUUGGUGGAAUUCUCGGUGUAGAGGUGAAAUUCGUAGAUAUCGAGAGGAACACCGGUGGCGAAGGCGGCCAACUGGACAGAUACUGACGCUGAGACACGAAAGCGUGGGGAGCAAACAGG
rnacentral:rRNA from 1 species